rnacentral:misc_RNA from 1 species
UGUUUCCUUUCUCCUUUUGGCUGCGAAGAAACAUAAACUCAGCUUGUUACGUACGAACUAAUUUUCUUACAUUUUCGCUCAAUAUUUCGUGAAUUUUCCUCUAUUUCUGACUGUUUCAAUUAAUCCACUGACUCGUUUAAAGUUUCGUUUUUAACAUCCUCCCACGCGGAUUUUAUUCUUCUCCUGGAAAUCAGAUUUUUACACUGGAAAAUUUACUUUGUACUUGAAAAAUCACCUUUCUGUCUUCUAUCU